AUGAAAGAUGUGUUUUGAAAAUGCCACGUGACUACCGUCCUCCUCCCUGGCGGAUCAGUCCGCAUGUUCACGGUGCAUUUUUCAUGGAAUAUGUUGAGCAAACCUGGAGAAGCGUCAGCUCAAGAUAUUAUUGUUGUCAUUGCUGUGGAUCUUUACCUGAUACACUGACUUGGCUCGGGACCAGCACUCCUGUUGUUGGACAGAAAGACAUCAACUCAGUGACUUGA
rnacentral:lncRNA from 1 species